UUUUGGUUAAGUUAAUAAGGGCGCACGGUGGAUGCCUUGGCACUAGGAGUCGAUGAAGGACGGCACUAACACCGAUAUGCCUCGGGGAGCUGUAAGUAAGCUUUGAUCCGGGGAUUUCCGAAUGGGGGAACCCACUAUCUUUAAUCGGAUAGUAUCUUCACGUGAAUUC
rnacentral:rRNA from 1 species